rnacentral:rRNA from 1 species
UACGGAGGGGGCUAGCGUUGUUCGGAAUUACUGGGCGUAAAGCGCGCGUAGGCGGAUCUGCAAGUCGGGGGUGAAAUCCCGAGGCUCAACCUCGGAACUGCCUUCGAUACUGCGGGUCUCGAGUCCGGGAGAGGUGAGUGGAAUUCCUAGUGUAGAGGUGAAAUUCGUAGAUAUUAGGAAGAACACCAGUGGCGAAGGCGGCUCACUGGCCCGGUACUGACGCGUGAGGCGCGAAAAGCGUGGGGAGCAAACAGG